rnacentral:rRNA from 1 species
UACGAAGGGGGCUAGCGUUGUUCGGAUUUACUGGGCGUAAAGCGCACGUAGGCGGAUCGUUAAGUCGGGGGUGAAAUCCUGGAGCUCAACUCCAGAACUGCCUUCGAUACUGGCGAUCUUGAGUCCGGGAGAGGUGAGUGGAACUCCUAGUGUAGAGGUGGAAUUCGUAGAUAUUAGGAAGAACACCAGUGGCGAAGGCGGCUCACUGGCUCGGUACUGACGCUGAGGCGCGAAAGCGUGGGGAGCAAACAGG